AACUUUGCGUAUAGGUGAUAUCGUAACCAAUGAGGUGCAUCAGAGGUGUGAUUAUUGCUAGUUGAAU